rnacentral:rRNA from 1 species
AGAGUUUGAUCCUGGCUCAGAUUGAACGCUGGCGGCAGGCCUAACACAUGCAAGUCGAGCGGAUGAGAAGAGCUUGCUCUUCGAUUCAGCGGCGGACGGGUGAGUAAUGCCUAGGAAUCUGCCUGGUAGUGGGGGACAACGUUUCGAAAGGAACGCUAAUACCGCAUACGUCCUACGGGAGAAAGCAGGGGACCUUCGGGCCUCUCACUAUCGGAUGAACCCAGAUGGGAUUAGCUAGUAGGCGGGGUAAUGGCCCACCUAGGCGACGAUCCCUAGCUGGUCUGAGAGGAUGACCAGCCACACUGGAACUGAGACACGGUCCAGACUCCUACGGGAGGCAGCAGUGGGGAAUAUUGCACAAUGGGCGCAAGCCUGAUGCAGCCAUGCCGCGUGUAUGAAGAAGGCCUUCGGGUUGUAAAGUACUUUCAGCGGGGAGGAAGGCGAUGUGGUUAAUAACCGCAUCGAUUGACGUUACCCGCAGAAGAAGCACCGGCUAACUCCGUGCCAGCAGCCGCGGUAAU